UUUUUUUUUUUUUUUUUUUCUGCAAACUGCUUUGAAAUAAAAGCAGCUUCAUCAAAGCCAGAGUUCCCACUAUAAUUUUUCUGGGAAGAACCUCAGAUGAUUGAAUCAGGUUCGCAGAACUUGCUUGCUCUAUGAGGACACACCAACUGUGAAGGAGCCUGGGGGGAGUGGGGGAUUUUCGCUUUGCAGCCUCCCGCAGACUCUCCACCCAGCCAUCUCCCAAUGCCGUCGUCCUUGAGUGCCUGUAGGCGGAAAAACCCAUUCCAGAACCAUGCCUCAGAAUCUCUCCGUCUUGGCCUGGCCCACAGUUUCCGAGCCUAACAGUUUCUUUCUGGCCUCUGAAUGGGCUCUUUCAGCCUUGGUGCUGGCUGAGGCCAAUGCCACAGAGUGAAGGACCCCAGUGAGCCCAGGAACAAGGCAGGCCAGGAGGGGACAGCUCAGAGGUUGGCACUUUGUUUUUUGUUUUUGAGACAGAGUCUCGCUCUGUUGCCCAGGUUGGAGUGCAAUGGCGCCAUCUUGCAACCUGCAACCUCUGCCUCCCAGGCUCAAGUGAUUCUCGUGCCUCAGCCUCCCGAGUAGCUGGGAUUACAGGUGCCCACCACCAUGCCCAGCUAACUUUUGUAUUUUUAAUAGACAUGGAGUUUCACCAUGUUGGCCAGGCUAGUGCCAAACUCACGACCUCAGGUGAUCCGCCUGCCUCGGCCUCCCAAAGUGCUGAGAUUACAGCCAUGAGCCACCGUGCCUGGCCGGUGUCACUUUCUUUAAAAGGCACCAUCUAUGACUUGAGGGAGAAGCGAUGAGCCCACCGGUGGACCCUCCGGAAACUACCCUGGCCUGGAGUUUGAGAAUGGUGUCUCCCUCAGCAUACCUGCCUGUCCGCUAGAGACCCAGCGGGAGGGAAGCAGCUCUGUCUUCAUUCCUGUGCUUGUGUGUGGAUUCAAGGAGGCAAACUCAGCUGCAGAGUCCCGACUGUGUGCUACCUGCCCACGCCAUUUGUAAGAAUUUUAAGUAUUUUUGGUAAUAAUAAGAAUUGAAAUUCAAUUCCUCCAAAAUUUAAAGAUAAAUUACCACAUGACCCUACACUCCUACUCCUAGGCAUAUACUCCAGAGCCACGGUCCCCAACCUUUUUGGCACCAGGGACUGGUUUCACCUGUGAUCCCAGCACUUUGGGAGGCCGAGGCGGGUGGAUCACCUGAGGUCAGGAGUGAGACCAGCCUGGCCAACAUGGUGAAACUGCGCCUCUACUAAAAAUACAAAAAUUGCCGGGCGCAGUGGCUCACACCUGUAAUCCCAGCACUUUGGGAGGCCGGUAGGAUCACGAGGUCAGGAGAUCGAGACCAUCCUGGCUAACACGGUGAAACCCUGUCUCUACUAAAUAUACAAAAAAAAAUUAGCCAGGCAUGGUGGUGCGUGCCUGUAGUCCCAGCUACUCGGAGAAACGUUUAAACACUUUUAGAUUAAUUACGUCCAUGCAAGCCAAGCUUUCCCUUUUGAUAUUCUUAGGUUUGGUUGGGUAGAAAAGGAUGUGUGGCUUAUAAAUCAGUGAGCAAAAAUUACCCCUGGAUAAUGGGCACAGGAGCACCCCAGCCUGGUCAUGGCAUCCUCGGGGCUGGGCGGUAUCUGCAGCCUGUGUGAUAUUUAGGAGUCUGUUAUUCUUCAGGGUAGGGCUGCCAGUGAGAACAGAGUGUCCCCAGCUCUCUGCCAAGAGUCUCAGCCACUCCCCGGGCUGCCUCCAUCCAGGCGGGUGAGCACACGUGGAGGGAGCACCACCAGGAACCUGGGCUUCCUUUCAGAGACACUGGGGAGAAGACUCUAGGGAUGUUGGUGUGGCUCCAGCAUCCUGCCAUAGGGAAACACCUGUCAUCAUGCUGAACCAACAGAUCCAGGAAAGGUCCCCCCACCAAGGUACAACCAAGGCAGCUCACAUCCAGGGACAGGCGCCCCAGGCAGCUCAGCUCAGGAGGGUCCCUCUGGGGAGACCUGGUCUGCACCAGGAAGCGGGACCACAUGUUCACAAAAUACACACGCCACCCACUUUGCUUGGACCCACACAAGGACAAUGUCCACAGCUUCCAGCUCAGACGGCUGCUCCCAUCCAUGUCGCUGUCCCUCACGGGGACCAGGGCUUAGCCACCCUGCGUUAACUCUCUACCCCUGCAGCAGCCCUGCCAGCCUCUCACCUGAGGGCAGGAGACAGGGCGGGGAGAGAGAGGCGCGGCCACCCAGGACCCAAUGAACGCAGCUGGUCUCGUUGGAGAAUUUGCAGGAGGGAACAUGGAAUACAACUCCCACACUCUCUGGAAGAAGGAAACCAGAAAAAUAUCCCGGGGUGUGUGUGUGUGUGUGUGUGUGCGCGUGUGUGUAUGUGUGUGUGUAUGUAUAUGUGUGUCUG
rnacentral:lncRNA from 1 species